rnacentral:snRNA from 1 species
AUCGCUUCUCGGCCUUUUGGCUAAGAUCAAGUGUAGUAUAAAAACUAACAGAGCGGCCAUAUUUGUCAUAAUUUGGAAUUUUUAACUUACACAGAUAAAUUAGGAUUCCUU